ACCAGCUGCUCCAGUUUCUCCCACAGUCCAAAGAUGUGCAAGUUAGGUGGAUUGGCCAUUCUAAAUUGUCUGUAGUGUCCAUGGAUGUUCAGGCCAGUAGGUUAGCCUUUGGAAAUGUGGGGUUACUUUGUGGGGGGUGGGUCUGUGUGGGACGUUGUUUGGAGGGUCUGUGUGGACCUGAUGGGCCAAUUGGCCUGCUUCCAGGCUGUAGGGUUUCUAUGAUUCUAAAUAUACUAUUAAGAAUUGGGAAUCAAAUUUGUGAAGUUUUUAAAUAUUUGAUUAACAUAUCAAACAGUGUCAGUCUGGACACACUUUAAAUCAACAAGCUUCUUUAGACACUGUUAUUCAGAUCUGGUUUAUAUUUCCUAGGGCAUCAGAGAAAGCUGAUAUUUUAUCAGAAGAAGAGCAGAGGACUUGAGAAGCUUAAUGGUCAGUUGUACUAGUUGUGCACUCAGAAUAGACCACAUGCUAGCUUUGGUGUAUCAAUACUAACUGCAAAAAUGAAACACACUGGAGUUGGGAAGACUUUAAAGCCAAAUAAAACAUCAAGAAAUUAAAUUGCAAUAAAUGCAUACAGAAUUUCCCAAACUUAGGUACUUAACAAACAUGAAACUAGUCUUUUUCAGUGAUGUUACACAAACUGCUUUUCUAGAUGGAUAUUCUAGUGCAUCUGCUUUCUAGUAUUUCUGAGAGGUGAGAAUGGGACAUGGCCUCUGUCUUGGGAAGCUAAGAAAGUACAAGGGGCUGUCAAAGUACUCUAGUAGCCAAAACAUUGGCUCUUCUGAAAGCAAUAGAGAUCAAUUUACAUUGGUCAAAAAAUGUAAGUAGUAUUGUGUAGAAUGGGCAUACUGAAAUAGUAUAUUCAUUAAAUGUUACAUAAAGAAUUGGUCUAGUGGUAUUACCGCUAGACUGUUAAACCAGAGACCCAGGAAUGUUCCAGGGACCUGGGUUCGAAUCCACAUGGUUGGUUGAAUCUAAAUUCAAUUAGAAAGAAACAAAAUCUGGAAUUAGGGUCUAUUGAUGACCGUGAAUUCAUUGCCGAUUGUCAGGAAAACCUCUCUGAUUCACUAAUGUCCUUUAGGGAAGGAAACUGCCAUCCUUACCUGGUCUGGCCUACAUGUGACUCCAAUCCCACAGCAAUAUGGUUGACUCUUAACUGCCCUGGGCAGUUAGGGAUGGGCAAUAAAUGUUGGCCUAGACAGCAAUGUGAAUGAAUAUAAAAGUGUAUUUCAUAGAUUACUAACCAUUCAUUAAGACUUGCAUACAUUUGUAUAAUUGCUAUGUCUGAGGUCCAUGCUUUCCACAGAUGAAGGCAGCAUCAGCAAGAGUUGUGACCUCAUGCACCGAUUUUUUUUUUCUUUAUUCAUUUAGGGGAUGAAGGCAUCGCUGGCUAGGCCAGCAUUUAUUGUCCAUCCCUAAUUGCCCAGAGGGAAGUUAAGAGUCAACCACAUUGCUGUGGGUCUGGAGUCACAUGUAGGCCAGACCAGGUAAGGAUGGCAGUUUCCUUCCCGAAAGGACAUUAGUGAACCAGAUGGGUUUUUCUGACAAUCGGCAAUGGAUUCAUGGUCAUCAUUAGCCUCUUAAUUCCAGAUAUUUAUUGAAUUCAAAUUCCACCACCUGCCGUGGCGGGAUUCAAACCCAGAUCCCCAGAACAUUACCUAGUUCUCUGGAUUAAUAGUCCAGCGAUAAUACGACUAGACCAUUGCCUCCCCAUUGAGUCUCCAUUGAGUCUCUCUGUAAAUGUUCACUGCAGCAGGAAUGCCUGCCAGGAUACCAACGUCCUGAUCCUCAAUGGCCUCCAAGACACAGCAUCUGCCUCUGGAAUGAGCAGAGUUUGAAGAGACCUGUGACCUCAAAUGUGACCUCUCCCUGUCUCCACUGCCUCACUUGUGAUAUGUGAGUCACCAACUACCCACUUUACUGACAUCACCAGAUGAUUUAUUCUUUUAUUGGGUGUAGCCAUUGUUGGCUAAGCCAGCAUUCAUUUGCUGCCUGGAAUUGCUCUUGAGAAGGCGAUGAUGCUACGUGAUCUGAUGUGUACUUUCAGCCUUUUCCAUUUUAAUUCCAUAUUUCAUACAGCUGCAAUAUUUUGAUUUUUCAAGAUCAAGUCAAUGCUUAGUGUUCAUUGUAAAGUUAAAGAAAAUAACCAAAGACAUGGUCAACAAGAUAGAUUUUGAGGAGGUUUUUGAACAUGGACAGAGACAAUAAUGGGAAGGGUUAUGGGAAAGAAUUCCAGACCUAAACCGAUGACAGAAUAGUUCCUUCUGUACUGCUGUAAUAAUACUGUUAACCAGAUUAUAAUGUUCGGUGUUAGCAGGAUUCACUAUUUAAGUGUUAUGUUGUAAUCAGUUUUGUCAGUGCAGUACUUACAGCAUGAAUGGGGAAACAGAUUUCAGUCAGAAUUCUUGGAGCAGGUAUGAAGAUUUGUGUUCCAUUAAUCUGAACUGUUUUUGAUGUACCUUUCAGGGGCCAACAUUAUUGUAAUCCACUUCACCGCUUGUACAUGUUUUUGUUUCUGCUAAUGCAAUUAAGAUUAAAAGCCCAGCAAUUGUUAGUGGCAAAGAUAGGAAUGCCUGUGCCAUUAAUUUUAAUAGAAGAGUAAUCACUUUUCUCUCUAAUAGGGGGACACUUCAGUUAAAAUAGCAGAUAGAAGGAUAUUGCACUAAAAUGCUGAGUCUUCAUCUGCUCAUGAAAAUUAAUUCCCAGGUUACAGUUACAAUCAUUUAUAUUACAACAGUAUUUUCAAUAAAGUACUUCUUUGUCCAUGUUCUUUCAUCUCCUAGUUGCUUCAUAUGGGCGGAAACAAUUAAUAUACUUUAUAACUCCUUGCCCAAAAAUCUACACGACAUGUCAAAGUGCAACAAAUAGUGCGGAUGGGUUCAACCAAAGUCAGGACCAUACCAUAGUCAAUCUGACCUAAUUAAUAUUUGCUAACAGAGAUCCCUGUUUUUUUUUUCCUUUAUUCAUUCAUGGGAUGAGGGCAACGCUGGCCAGGCAGCAUUUAUUGCCCACCCCUAAUUGCCCAGAGGGCAGUUCAGAGUCAACCACGUUGCUGUAGGUCUGAAGUCACAUGUAGGCCAGACCAGGUAAGGAUGACAGUUUCCUUCUCUAAAGGACAUUAGUGAACCAGAAAGGUUUUUCCUGACAAUCGACAAUAGAUUCAUCAUCAACAUUAUACUCUUAAUUCCAGAUAUUUUAUCGAAUUCAAAUUCUACCAACUUCGAACCCGGGUCCCCAGAAUGUUAUCUGCAAGUCUGGAUUAACAGUCCAGCGAUAAUACCAUUAGGCCAUCGCCUCCCCUUUAGUUACUGGGAUAAAUUUAUUCCCUUAACCUUAGGAAGUGGAAGGCCGAUGUAGUACCAUCAUUGUAUUGCCCCAAUUAUAUUAGCUGAGUCAUCAUAAAACGUGUUGGCCUGUCCAGGCUAUAUGUCUUUGUAACAGUGCAAUUUUUUUUAGGAGUUAAUUAUGACUUGAUUAGCGGGUGCAAAGAUACUUGAUGACCUUUUUGUAAAAUUGAAGAAUGCAUGUUUGACAGGUCAUUUCACUUGUAUUCUCAACUUGAUUAUUCUAUGCGUAUACUAGAAAUAAACAUUUAACUGAGGCUGCUUAGUUCAUCUUAUUGGCUAUUUUGGCAGCCAGUCACUCCCUUACUUUCCAUUGUUAUCUCAAUUCUAUUAAUUCAGAAGACAAAUAUUCUGAAUGAUAACACCAACAUAUUUAUAGAAUAUUAAGUGGUUUGAUGUAUUGAGAAAAGGCUGAGUAAAUUUUAUUAAUUGACAAGAAAGGCUUUAUGGUUUUAUUUUCUAUUUUUAUUUUUUAUUUUCUAUUUUAUUUUAUUAGACCAUAAGACCAUUUCAAAUAAAUCUUAUAAAGUGUAAUAUGGUGUGUUUUUUUCCUUUUAUCUAUAAUAAACUUUAAUAUUAUUUUGUUAAAAGUACAUAGGCGACCUCUUGUGAAUAUAUUCAGUGACUGACCACCCAGUAAAAUAAAAUUAUUUUUUUUUUAUUUUCUAUUUUUUAUUUUCUAUCGUCAAAUUAUUUUAAUGGUGCAACUCCAUGGUAGUCAUACUAAUGUCAUAUUACAUAACAAUAUUCAUUAAGACUAUAUAGUUGCACAUUAAAUGUCCAUGGUCUAGGUUAGGCUUUGAAAAUUAGGAAAGAAAGAACUUACGUUCACACAGAAUCAUAUUCUGCCUUUAGGACCACUUUUGAAACAUGGCAAUCAAUGUUUAAACAGCAAGAUCCCACAAAUCACAAACGAGUGAAUGUUCAGACAAUGACUGUAACUUCCAUGAGGGUGGCUCCUGAUCCUCUGCGGUAAUGUUGACAGGAGACCAAGGGGACCCCAAAAGAAGCAAUGCUAAGAUUUUCAAUUCUUUGCAUUGUUUCUCCAGGGGGUGGGGUGCAGGGGCAGAUAGCAGCAAUGUGGUUCUGGUAACCUUUGAAUUAAGUUAUUAAGAAGAUUUAGAUAAACCCCGCUGAGUAUGUUUUGGAUGAUGGUUGAAAGAAAGGUGUUGCUUAGUUACCGAGAACUCCUUCAUCUGUUUCCUCACCCACUUCUAUUCUGAUAUCUCCACCUUUGGCCUUUUAUUCCUUUCCAAACCUAAUCUUGGGGAACAGCAUGUUCUUUCAGUUAAAUAUUUGACAACUCCCUGGCCUUGAUAUUGACUUUAAUAAUUUCAGAUUUUAACUUUAUCCCUCUUUUUAUUUUCAGCAAGUGAUGCUGACAAGGUGGAUUCUAAUUAGGAAUAAAGGAACAGGAGUAGGCCAUUCAGCCCUUCCAGCCUGUUCCACUAUUCAAUGAGAUCAUGGCUGAUCUGCAGCCUAGUUCCAUAUACUUGCCUUUGGUCUAUUUCCCUUGAAUUCCUGUUAAGGAAAGGUAUUAUCUAUCUCAGGUUUAAAAUGUGGGUGUGCAGUGAACUUGGUAGAGAAGAAGAUAGAGUGGUGCUGGGGGUGGGAAGUUAUCUGACACAACACACUGGUGGGACAUGUGCUUCUGUAUUCACCUAGCCUGCUGGAUUCUAUUCCCCUUUGUAGAUCUUCUCCAAACCGAGAAAUCAAGUACAGACGUGUCAACUAAACAAGUGGAAACAGGGUGACCUUUCAUUGGAGUUUGAAUAUGUGCUAUGUGGUUGGGGGUAGAUGGAAUUAAUUUUUAUUGUUAAUGUUUGCCAUAAGACCAUUUCAAAUAAAUCUUAUAAAGUGUAA